rnacentral:rRNA from 1 species
UUGAUGAAGGCCUUAGGGUUGUAAAGCUCUUUCACCGAUGAAGAUAAUGACGGUAGUCGGAGAAGAAGCCCCGGCUAACUUCGUGCCAGCAGCCGCGGUAAUACGAAGGGGGCUAGCGUUGUUCGGAAUUACUGGGCGUAAAGCGCACGUAGGCGGAUAUUUAAGUCAGGGGUGAAAUCCCGCAGCUCAACUGCGGAACUGCCUUUGAUACUGGGUAUCUUGAGUAUGGAAGAGGUAAGUGGAAUUCCGAGUGUAGAGGUGAAAUUCGUAGAUAUUCGGAGGAACACCAGUGGCGAAGGCGGCUUACUGGUCCAUUACUGACGCUGAGGUGCGAAAGCGUGGGGAGCAAACAGGAUUAGAUACCNU